rnacentral:rRNA from 1 species
UACGAAGGGGGCUAGCGUUGCUCGGAAUCACUGGGCGUAAAGCGCACGUAGGCGGCUUACUAAGUCAGGGGUGAAAUCCUGGAGCUCAACUCCAGAACUGCCUUUGAUACUGGUGAGCUUGAGUCCGGAAGAGGUGAGUGGAACUGCGAGUGUAGAGGUGAAAUUCGUAGAUAUUCGCAAGAACACCAGUGGCGAAGGCGGCUCACUGGUCCGGUACUGACGCUGAGGUGCGAAAGCGUGGGAGCGAACAGG